GAUGAACGCUGGCGGCGUGCCUAAUACAUGCAAGUCGAGCGAACGGACGAGAAGCUUGCUUUUCUGAUGUUAGCGGCGGACGGGUGUGUAACACGUGGAUAACCUACCUAUAAUACUGGGAUAACUUCGGGAAACCGGAGCUAAUACCGGAUAAUAUUUUGAACCGCAUGGUUGAAAAGUGAAAGACGGUCUUGCUGUCACUUCUAGAUGGUUCUCCGCUGCAUUAGCUGGUUGUUAAGUUAACGGCUUACGAAGGCAACGAUGCAUAGCCGACGGGAGAGGGUGAUAGGCGACACGGGAAGUGAGACACGGUCAAUGGGCCUGAGGGAGGCCGCAGUAGGGAACGGGACGCAGUGGUCGAAAGUCUGGCGGAGCAACGCCACGCGAGUGGUGAAGGUGUUCGGAGCGUAAUACUGUGUUAUGAGGGAAGAACAUAUGUGUAAGGAACUGUGGAGAUCGUGACGGUAACUGAUCAGAAAGCCACGGCUAACUACGUG
rnacentral:rRNA from 1 species